AUGCUUACACAUGCAGUCGAACGGCAGCAUAGAGAGCUUGCUCUCUGAUGGCGAGUGGCGAACGGGUGAGUAAUAUAUCGGAACGUGCCCAGUAAUGGGGAAUAACUAACUGAAAGGUUAGCUAAUACCGCAUACGACCUACGGGUGAAAGCAGGGGAUCUUAGGACCUUGCGUUAUUGGAGCGGCCGAUAUCUGAUUAGCAUGUUGGUGGGGUAAAAGCCUACCAAGGCAACGAUCAGUAGCUGGUCUGAGAGGACGAUCAGCCACACUGGAACUGAGACACGGUCCAGACUCCUACGGGAGGCAGCAGUGGGGAAUUUUGGACAAUGGGGGAAACCCUGAUCCA
rnacentral:rRNA from 1 species